CCAGACCUCAAGGAGGGCAUUCCAGAUGCCAAAGAGGUCAUCCCAACCUCGAGGAGAGCGUCCCAAACUUGAGGAAACCAUCCCAAGGCCGAGACAGAUAAAGGGACCUCGUCCUCAGCCAGGCUCUGGUUGGGAGAGAGCUGGGAGCUCCCAGGACGAGGUUUGGGAACAGUCUUGGGGUCGUUGGCAGUCGCAGCCCUCAGGGGGAAUUUUCACCUCUCCUUCCCCCCUGCCUCACACCCAGUCCUUGCUCCCUCUCCCUUCCCAGGGAGGGCGUCCAGUGGGGGAAGGAGAUUGAAAAUUAAAAAAAAAAAAAAAAAAAGGAAAAAAA